rnacentral:misc_RNA from 1 species
AACGCACAUUGCGCCCUUUGGCAUUCCGAAGGGCAUGCCUGUUCGAGCGUCAUUAUCACCUCUCAAACCACCCUUUCUUCAGUGAAAGACCGGUUUGGCCUUGGAUGGUUUGGCGUCGGUAACCCGUCACCCCUCCCAAAGACAAUGACGGUGGCUUCGUGAGACCCCCGGUACACUGAGUUCCUCACCGAACACGUACUGGAUCACAAGGGUAGACGAAACCCCGGUCGAACCUCCCUCCACUGGGAGGACCUAUUUUUUACAGGUUGACCUCGGAUCAGGUAGGAAUACCCGCUGAACUUAA